GACAGAGGGGGCAAGCGUUGCUCGGAAUUACUGGGCGUAAAGGGCGCGUAGGCGGGAUGGCAAGUCGGUCGUGAAAUCCUUCGGCUCAACCGAAGAACGUCCAUCGAUACUGCUGUUCUUGAGGGUUGCAGAGGAGACUGGAAUUCCCGGUGUAGCGGUGAAAUGUGUAGAGAUCGGGAGGAACACCGGUGGCGAAGGCGGGUCUCUGGGCAAUUCCUGACGCUGAGGCGCGAAAGCGUGGGGAGCAAACGGG
rnacentral:rRNA from 1 species